rnacentral:lncRNA from 1 species
AUGGGGAGAAUGUGUGCGGUCAGAAACUGCGGAAAAAUCCCUCAAAAAAGGAGUUGUCAUCGGCUUCCUCUCCUCGGUCACAACACUGCAAGACGGAAGUUGUGGCUUUCAUUCCUCGGGUUAGACGUAAACACCCCUCUAAAUGUUCUUCGGGAAGCUGACCAUCGCGUUUGCGCCUUCCAUUUUCGGCACGAGGACUACAUGCAAUCAACCGGUCUUCGAAUGAAGUUUCCGAAGAAACUUCAUCUGCAAAAGGCAGCUGUACCGACGCUUCUUGGACCAACGCUAGACGAAGAAGACCUUGGGGCUGGUGCUGGUGUAGAACCCUUCGUUUUCAAUGCUCCCCAUUCAACUCCUGUCAAGGACCUGCCUUCUCCCAGCUUGUCCUUGGUCAUCACAAGUCCACAGCCACACCAAUCCACAAAAUCCUCAAGGAAGUCCUUAUCUGGCAGUUACCUUGCUUUCCCUGUGACCAGGGAGAGGUCCUCACUAUUUCCAGACAAUUGUAAAACUGAGAUGCUUCAAGUGGACAUUUCCUCAGUCAUUAAGGAUGAAUCUGGCAGUCACCUUGCUUUCCCUGUGACUAGGGAAAGGCUGUCACUAUCACAGCCAGACAAUUGUAAAACUGAGAAGCUUCAAGUGGACAUUUCCUCAGUCAUUAAGGAUGAACCAACAGACAUGAACAUCAGCAUCAAUCAACAAUCAAGUUCAACCUCCAGUUCAAGUGCCUCAGAAGAGCAAGGGGAGUUGGAUGAAAGAAAAUGGAUUGUGAACGAGUCUAGCCUCAUGACAUUGUUUAGAACAUGCCAUACAUGUGCCGUACCCAUCACUGAUAUAACAGUGACAACUACAGGUAGCCAGAUAAAGAUCGAAUGGACAUGUUUAAAUAAUCAUCAUGGCAGGUGGACAUCAUGUCCUGACUCCUGAUGCAAGAGAAAUGGCACAGAAUCACCUGCUUGUUUCUGCUACUUCGGAUCAAGAUUGUACAUUUUUAGGUUGUACAUUUUGUUAAUACAAUAGGCCUAUGUCUACUUUUACCCAUGCUAUUUGAAAACAUGUUUAGGCCUUCAGACUGUGGUGUGCACUUUAUAAAUAAAACUGAAAAGAUAUUUGAAAAAUAGCUUUUUAUUGAGGUUUUUUUUUUUUUUUUACAGUGCAGGUAGGUAGGGACAGAAGGGUAAGAAGGUCAGAAUAAGUCCUCUAUCUGACUUGGUAACCCCGCAUACUGUCCAGUGGGGGAUGGGAACGCAUCCCUUACAGCCCACACCACACAACUGGGUAAUCCAACGCCUUUUCCUCGUCCCAGUGGUUGACCUUUGAGGGCCCACCCCAGAAUAACUCGAUAAGCCACAUGUCGGUAUUGCCUGAGGAGGAGAACAAAACAUGGAUAGAGCAAAGACAGCGUCAGAAACUUAUUUUCGAGAACAUUAUAGUUGGCUACAUGCGAAUUAUACAAACUGGCAUCUGAAUAUGAAAUUCAUUGCAUCAACGCAGCUUACCUUUCUGACAAUUGGCCAUUCGGUCCUUCGGGUGUGGGGCGGUUCUUCCAGCUUAUUUCAGGGACCCAGGAGAAAGUCUCCAGCACGGGUUUGUUCAUUAGCUGGCGCACUUCAAUUUCGGUGAUGCAGACCGGCGAACCAUCAGUCCCGUCGACCGAGACAUUCAGGCUGGCCAUACCAGCCGUGAGGACAAGGUCCCACUACGUGCAGCACCUUCUUUCUUCUUCCGUCGGCAUCUGUCUGCACUUUCCACAGGCACACCACCCAAUUCCCGUGACCCUGGGGUCCGCUUCGGCCGCCUCCGAAGCCCUAGCCUCCAUAUCCAUUUGAUCUAGCUCCUCUUGGGUGUAUUCUGGUUCAAAACGGUAUCCUCGACCGUCAAAAUCAAAAUCGAGUGGGUCCUCCUCCAGAACCCAACUUUCAUUAUCCAUUUACAGUGUUUGCAAUGUUUUUCUCUGUAAUUUUCGCUACUCGGAGAGCACAGGAGGUUCUCUGCUCACGCUGCUCUGCUCACGACGGUACUAACCGAGCGAAAAGACUACAACACAACGUAAACAACCCUGGUUUCCGUUUCCGCUGGCGCAGUAACAUCAACGAGCAAUGCUCUUCCAACUGAAAUCAUUGAGAUUUUCAAAAUGCCGUAUAAAACACGAUAUAAACUGUAUUUCGCUACGCUACCUGAUUUUUGAACAUCAACUAACACUACUUACCACUCGGUAAGUUGCACUUUCUGAAAACGAACGUUUAGGGAUGUUUUAAGGACUGGUUUGUGAAUACCCUAGGCCAGGAAAUGAGCCAAAUACCCGAGACAGGACCAAUCGUCAAUAUUUUGGUUUCAAACAAUCUAUUUCAUCCUUGACAACCCAGAAAAGGGGCUCAAAGUGCAAAAUACCGGAUUAUUUUUCAUUAAUUCCUUUAUCACGCAAGUAAUGCAAUGUAUGUUUUACUGCAGGCCGAUAUAUAUAUUUUAGUUGUUCGUGCAUAAUAAUAAUAAUAAUAACAGGGUCAAUACAUCUGAAACGCAUUUCUUUAAAUUGUCGGCGGAACUGUUGCUCGUUAAACAUUGUUUCCGAGGGGACCUCAACACGAGUUACACCAGCAGCUCAGCGUGUAUUUAGCAGCGAGCUCAGCCUCGCUUGGGAGACUUACAAACUAUUUUCUUUACUUAUUGUUGUUAUACACUACUUGUACAACAGUUUAUUACAGGUACAUAACCGUAAUAGCGACCGCACGUUGUGCUUUUUAUAUAGCGAUAUACAUAUAGGCAUGUAUGUAUAUAUAUUAUUUAUAUGCAUGUUAAAUUAAACUAGACAACAAGUGUGUUGUACAUAACGACCCCCAGCGAGACGGGGGGCUUCUGUCCGGGGAGCAGUCGUCCUAUGGUCCACGAUACUGAAAUCAUUAACAGAGGUAUAGCCUAACCGCUUGUAUUCACAUUUAGAAUGACAUAACUUUUAGGACCCUGUAGUACUGUAGUAAUAACCGGGUUGUGGUUCUGACCAUAGAAUAGGAUGUGGUCUCUAGUUUAAAUCCACCAGUGUUAAUUAUUGGCGAGUGUUUUCUACGAUUAACACUGAUAACGUCCUUUGUAGUUUAGUGAGA